ACACUGUUUAUUUACUGUAUGUGCUUUCCCUUAAGCUGCUGUCUGAGAUCAUUUCAAGAUACUCUUCUAUGCUCUGAUGAAUUCAAAACUGCAGCGAGUUAAUUCAGUGCUCACCCCAGGCACCCGACACUGGGUGGUAGUCCCUGUAUCUCUGCAGUUCACACUGCCACUGAACCAAGUACAGAAACAUCCCUGAGGAAUGACUGAUUAUUUAAACUAGUUUUUGGAUUGGCUUGCUUUUGUUUAAAGCAGAUGCUUAUUGGGAGGAACGAUUGGUCUCAGCAUGUAACUGACCUCAGAUUAAUUAAUAACCACUGUCUGGAACCCAACACUACAAACGGGAAGCAGAAAACAAACAGUUUGAGCCAUCUGUGCUAACUUUUGCUUGAGAGCUUGGCUGCUCUUAUUAGAGGGUUGUGCCUUUUCCUGCACCACACAGAAGGGAGAGGGGGAGUCCAUUAUAAAAAGGUUAGUUCCCAUAGUGUGAUCCACUAAAAGAGGGGAAAUAGGGGGAUGUGUUGUAUCUCAGCCCUCAAAAUUCUCAGGAGGUUUCUCUGUACCAGUUCUACCACUGACAAGGCUUUAAUGGAUUUAUUUUCUGUUAAACCUUUUUUUUUCCCCCUAGAUUCCUCUUCUGUUUUACUAGUUUCUGAGGAAAGUAAAUAUUCUUCACUUCCAGUUUCAUUCCUUUCCUUUCUUGUGUUGACAUCUCUUGUGAUCAGUGGAAGGUGGUGGUGGUGGGAUACAGGUUGUUUAUGUGCUCUUUAAUUUGCUGUUACUGCAGAUGGUUGGGAACACUGUAGCGAGCUGAUUUUGGAAAAUGAAGACUUACUGUAGUGGAAACACUUCAUAAAUACCGUUUCAGCUAAAAAGGUCAGGAAAUUAUUCUCAUGUGCGGAAUAUGUUUUCCUGAAAAAUGUGUGGAGAGCUGCUCACCCAGGACACGUUGCCAGCCUGUACACAUCUUGCUAACCUCCAGGCAGGGCCAUUACUAUUGCCAUCUUGUCAAUCCUGGAAAAGAGAGAUGGGCUUGCUGUCUCCCACGUGUCGAUGUACAUGCAGAGCUGCCCUCCAGUAGCUUAAAUCUUCCUGUGUAGUAUCCCGUGCUGCUACCAGUGGCGGUAGUAGAGAUGGAGUAUGGACUUUGAUGUGUACCUGGUAAUUAAUGUGUACAUGCAGUCCUGGGAGAACUUGUCCUCUGCCCCCCCCCAAAUAUGCUGAUGCCUGUAUUAGGUACUUCCCGGCCUCAGUUAGGCAGAGGUACCAUAUCCUUCUGUUGAACCUUCAGCUCUGUUUUGUGUGCAUUCCUAUGAUGGUGGCACAGGUCUCAGAUGUUUCAUCAAGAUCCGUAGCUUCAACGUAAGCUCCAUCUGCACUGGGGUCUGGUACCUGAGAAGUUGAGUGACUCACACGCCUCUGGACUCGCAGUGUUAAUUGUAACAGCAGCAAAACUUUAGAGGUACAAGUCAAGGUUCUCUGUCAGCACAGCACCCAAAGCACUGAGACCUCCACUUGGAUUCCCAAAGGUGUCUCUGUGAGACAGAACAGUUGUGGGGAAGCAAAUACUUGUUGCCAGAUGUGAAUGAUGUCAGUCCUCUGCUUGCGAAAGCCACGUGUGGCUGUGGUCUUGGUGGGUUUCCUCUCAGAAGUGACCUGGCACUCCUGGAGCUGCAGAAACACAUCGAUCCAGACAGUUCAACAGGAACAAUCAGCUGCUGGCACACUGUGGAGAGGAACAAACACUGCUGCAAGAUCUUAACAACAGGAUGGGGAGAGACAGAGCUUACAG